rnacentral:rRNA from 1 species
AUUGAACGCUGGCGGCAGGCCUAACACAUGCAAGUCGAACGGUAACAGGAAGAAGCUUGCUUCUUUGCUGACGAGUGGCGGACGGGUGAGUAAUGUCUGGGAAACUGCCUGAUGGAGGGGGAUAACUACUGGAAACGGUAGCUAAUACCGCAUAACGUCGCAAGACCAAAGAGGGGGACCUUCGGGCCUCUUGCCAUCGGAUGUGCCCAGAUGGGAUUAGCUAGUAGGUGGGGUAACGGCUCACCUAGGCGACGAUCCCUAGCUGGUCUGAGAGGAUGACCAGCCACACUGGAACUGAGACACGGUCCAGACUCCUACGGGAGGCAGCAGUGGGGAAUAUUGCACAAUGGGCGAAAGCCUGAUGCAGCCAUGCCGAGUGUAUGAAGAAGGCCUUCGGGUUGUAAAGUACUUUAAGCGGGGAGGAAGGGAGUAAAGUUAAUACCUUGGCUCAUUGACGUUACCCGCAGAAGAAGCACCGGCUAACUCCGUG